rnacentral:lncRNA from 1 species
CGUUUGGGUCAAGUGUUGUGUAGUGGACUGCCUGUGCAGACUUAAGCGAAGAUUGAAGGUGGUUUCUUCUUGUCUGUUUUUGGUUUUUGUUCCUUGGUUUGGUGAAGGAGGCUGUGAUCUAAGUGGGUUUGUGUUGUGUGGUGAGAUCUAAUCUUCUCAUGUCUCUUGAUUAGCGGGAUGCAGGAGAGAGAAAGAAUGAGGUCGAUUGGAGCAGGUCUUCGUCGUCGUCGUUGUUCUCUUUUGGCAUGUGUGUGGCUUUUCGAGACAUGCUCAAGAAGAAUCUUGGGGGGGGGGGGUUGAUUUGGAGUUUGGGAUGUUAUUUGUGAGAUUGGAUUGUCUUAAAAUGUAGAAUAAAAAUAGAUUUGAAACUUUGGGGAAAUUUUAGGGCUGGCUUCAUUUGUUGGUAAUGGUUUAUUCUCUUCAGCCAUGAAGACAUGCAUAUUUGCACAAUUAGUAUGUGUGUUUAAGAAUAAUAAUGAUAGUAGUAGGACUCUUCUAAUCAAUGAAUGUAAAAAAAUAAACGAAACAACAACUGAAAUACCAAAGUUGUUUACAAUUAUCUGAAUUAAAUGAUUAAACUGUUAAUUCA